UCUAGAACUCAAGAUAUGGGCUGCACACUGAACAUUGUCUGGGCUGCAGGACAGAUUCCAACUUCUCCGUUGUUGCUAAGAUUUGGACUUCCAAACACCAGAAUUGAGUCUUGCACUCCCCCAUGAAUAUUUUAGGCUUAUGUCUUAGCUUUCUAUC
rnacentral:pre_miRNA from 1 species